GGGCUCCCUCCGGAGGUAUAGCCAGCCAUUCCCGCUCCCUUCCCAGGAGGCACCCCCCCCCAAUCCAACCACAGGCAAGAUAUUCCAGAGCCUGGGAGUGAGGGCCACCAGCGCAGGUACUAUAGCUGUCAGCUGUCCCCUUCCGCCCCCUCCUCACCCAGGCAGCCUUCAGUCGGCGCAGCCCAGGCCCUCUGAGCAAACAUGUUCCUGAAGGGCUAGACAGGCCUCUCUCGGGAAGAGGAAGACGAGGAGAGCCUGAGAGUAGCCACUGCUGAGCACCUGCUCCGUGCCAGCCACACUCAGGGCUCUGUGGGGACUCCGCAUGGCAGCCCGCAGGCCCAUGCUGCCCUCACCCCCUGCACACAUUGCGGGGGGCAGUGGGCAGGGGCUGGAGGGCACCCCCGGCGCUAACACCCCUUCUGGGGGUUGUAUUCUCCCCAGGAGAGGCAGGGCAGGGUAGCAGCAGGGGAAGAAGCCCCUGCCUGCUUUUGGUGAGGCACAUGUCCCCGAGAUGUCCCCAAGGAGGGGACAGACUGGGGCUUUUGCCUCCCUGGGGCCCUGGCCUGCCCCUUAUGGGGUCUGCUGGGCUGGCGGAGGCACCCAGGGAGGUGGGGGUGCACACGUGGGCUGCCCUCACCCUCGGUGAAGCACUCCUCAGGCUGCUCCCCCUCAGGGUUCUCCUCGGCCUGUUCCUCAGGGUCCUCCUCGGGGGGCUUGUAGUCGGCAGUGCUGCAGACGGAGGAGUUCCCGUCGAGGGGCUGCAGCGGCUUCUGCAGGAGCCACAGGGUCACGUGACCCCUGGCUCCUCCCACCAGGUGGGGCCGAGGUCAAGAGAGGAGCUGACUCAUUCAUUCAUUCACUCAGCACUGGGCACUGCGCACCCCCCACCCCCCGUGCGCAGAAGAAACAGAACCUGCCCUCAUGGCACUUAGAUGUGGAGUGGGUGGGGAAUGAGGCCUGGGGACAGAGGGGGUCAGGACAGAGCUGGGGGCUGCAGAUAACGGGGCGGCUGCGUGUGAUGCCCCCAGGGUCUGAGCCUUCCUAUCCUCAGGGUCUGUUUGGCAGAGGAAGUCAGAAAGAAUGGAAAUUUUUCUGCAGCUGAAGCCUGAUGGGAAUGGGUGGGGUGGGUGAGGCUGGCGCUCCAGUCUGGCCAGGCCUCCCCCGCCUCCUCCCGGUGCUGUUCCAGGCCGGCUGCCAGACCCCCAGCUUCCAUUCCUCCAGGGGCCCCCCUCAUGGCUUGGGGGGAGGCCCCUGAAGAAGAAGAUGGAGCAGGUAGCCUGGGGGCGGCUCUCAGCAUGAUGGUCAGAAAACUAGGGAGAGCCUUGUGCCCAGUUGACAGAAAGGGAAACCAAGGCACUGGGUGGUAGAUCAGGCAGGGCACCCACUGAGCCCUUUGCCCUACCUGUGCACCCCAACUCCCACGGUCCCCCAGGGAGCCUCGCUUGCGCCACUUGAGAGAGUCCCCGAGCCUUGGCCCUGGGCGCUGUCCAGCCCUCCUCCACCCCCACUGCUCCUCAUACCGAGGUUGGUGCCACAUUUCCCGGGGUAUUUAUAGCUUGGCAGGCACUCAGCUCCCUGGUAAGUCAGCGUGCCAUGUAUUUGCGGGGAGGAAGGAGUUAAGAGGUUUCAGGGCAAAGUUUAUUCAGGCUCUGGUGCCCAGCCAGGCCCAGGGCUGAUAGGGUAGGGGUGGCAGGAGGCCCUGCCCGAGCUUAUGGGCUGGUCUGUGGUCCCCUGCCAGAGCUGGAGGGGGUGAGGGGGCUCAGAAUCGCCUCCCCUGGGAGGCCUCACUCCUGGCCUCAGCCUGAACUUCUAGAGGUGACCGCCAGUGCCUCUUGCACCCUUGCAGGGGAGGGGCACCUCAACCCAGCAGCAGGCCCCCUGUUCAGGCAGGGUGGGUGGGUCCCACUGAGGCUGGGCCCCAAACUCCACCGGGCCCCUGACCCCUUUCCACAGAGUCUCCAGCCCACGCCCAGCACUUUGGCCCACCCUGGGAGGUGGGGUCUAAGCAGAAUAUAUGAUUGGCAGGGGCUUCCAGCCCACAGUGGGAUUAAGAGAGGCCUCCUCCGUUCCAGCCCUGAAGCUGAGAUGCCACAGGGGCAGUCCUCCCAGCCACCCCCUGAGGUGCCCACCAUUCUUCUUCCGCGUGAAGCUUGAGAACCCAGCCGAGCCGAGAGCAGCGAUGUGUGGAAGGUCACACAGAUGGGGAAGGAGCUGGGCCCGGAACACGGGAUGCGGAAGACGAUGAGGAAGGAGUGGAAGAAGUCGUGCAUGUGCCAGCGGGGCAGGCUGCAGUCCGAGGCGAUCUUGCACACGCACUCCUUGUAGCUCUUGCCGAACAGCUGCAUGCCCACCACGGCGAAGAUGAACACGAUGAUGGCCAGCACCAGCGUCAGGUUGCCCAGCGCCCCCACCGAGUUGCCGAUGAUCUUGAUGAGCAUGUUCAGCGUCGGCCACGACUUGGCCAGCUUGAAGACCCGCAGCUGCCAGGCAGUGGGGAGCGCAGGGGCCGGUGAGGCCCGGGCACCCCCGGCCCAACCCCGAGGGAGCCCCAUCCUUACGGGAGAGAACGCUGUUGAACGGCCUGAACCCCCACCCAUCGAGGGAGGCGAGGCCUCAGGUGACCUCUCUGUUAAAUGGGGGUGCUCACAUCCUACCACCCCAUCCUCUUUGUGUGAUCAAAAGAAAAAGAGUCUGGAGUUCCCGUCGUGGCGCAGUGGUUAACGAA